UGGGGAAUUUUGCGCAAUGGGGGAAACCCUGACGCAGCAACGCCGCGUGGAGGAUGAAGCCCCUUGGGGCGUAAACUCCUUUCGACCAAGACGAUAAUGACGGUACUGGUGGAAGAAGCACCGGCUAACUCUGUGCCAGCAGCCGCGGUAAUACAGAGGGUGCGAGCGUUGUUCGGAAUUAUUGGGCGUAAAGGGCGCGUAGGCGGUGCCACAAGUCACCUGUGAAAUCCCCGGGCUUAACCCGGGGCCUGCAGGCGAAACUGUGGCGCUGGAGUAUGGGAGAGGUGCGUGGAAUUCCCGGUGUAGCGGUGAAAUGCGUAGAUAUCAGGAGGAACACCUGUGGCGAAAGCGGCGCACUGGACCAUAACUGACGCUGAGGCGCGAAAGCUAGGGGAGCAAACAGGAUUAGAUACCCUGGUAGUCCUAGCCCUAAACGAUGGAUGCUUGGUGUGGCCGGUACCCAAUCCGGCUGUGCCGAAGCUAACGCGAUAAGCAUCCCGCCUGGGGAGUACGGUCGCAAGGCUGAA
rnacentral:rRNA from 1 species